ensembl:lncRNA
GUAGUGGUGCAGUAGGGGCCUGAGGGCCACAGUGUGUUGUAGAUAUGUGGUAGUGGUGGAGUAGGGGCCUGAGGACACACAGUGUGUUGUAGAUAUGUGGUAGUGGUGCAGUAGGGGCCUGAGGACACACAGUGUGUUGUAGAUAUGUGGUAGUGGUGGAGGAGGGGUCUGAGGGCACACAGUGUGUUGUAGAUAUGUGGUAGUGGUGGUGUAGGGGCCUGAGGGCACACAGUGUGUUGUAGAUAUGUGGUAGUGGUGGAGUAGGGGCCUGAGGGCACACAGUGUGUUGUAGAUAUGUGGUAGUGGUGGAGUAGGGGCCUGAGGGCACACAGUGUGUUGUAGAUGGGUCUGAGGGCACACAGUGUGUUGUAGAUGUGUGGUAGUGGUGGAGUAGGGGCCUGAGGGCACACAGUGUGUUGUAGAUAUGUGGUAGUGGUGGAGUAGGGGCCUGAGGGCACACAGUGUGUUGUAGAUAUGUGGUAGUGGUGGAGUAGGGGUCUGAGGGCACACAGUGUACUGUAGAUAUGUGGUAGUGGUGGAGUAGGGGCCUGAGGGCACACAGUGUGUUGUAGAUAUGUGGUAGUGGUGAAGUAGGGGCCUGAGGGCACACAGUGUGUUGUAGAUAUGUGGUAGUGGUGGAGUAGGGGCCUGAGGACACACAGUGUGUUGUAGAUAUGUGGUAGUGGUGGAGUAGGGGUCUGAGGGCACACAGUGUGUUGUAGAUGUGUGGUAGUGGUGGAGUAGGGGCCUGAGGGCACACAGUGUGUUGUAGAUAUGUGGUAGUGGUGGAGUAGGGGCCUGAGGGCACACAGUGUGUUGUAGAUAUGUGGUAGUGGUGGAGUAGGGGUCUGAGGGCACACAGUGUGUUGUAGAUAUGUGGUAGUGGUGGAGGAGGGGUCUGAGGGCACACAGUGUGUUGUAGAUGUGUGGUAGUGGUGGAGUAGGGGCCUGAGGACACACAGUGUGUUGUAGAUAUGUGGUAGUGGUGCAGUAGGGGCCUGAGGACACACAGUGUGUUGUAGAUAUGUGGUAGUGGUGGAGUAGGGUCCUGAGGGCACACAGUGUGUUGUAGAUAUGUGGUAGUGGUGGAGUAGGGGCCUGAGGGCACACAGUGUGUUGUAGAUAUGUGGUAGUGGUGCAGUAGGGGCCUGAGGACACACAGUGUGUUGUAGAUAUGUGGUAG